rnacentral:ncRNA from 2 species
UCUACUCAAAUUUUCCGAGCUUAAACUUCUAAAGUCAAUGUUGACCAUGAAGUCUAGCCGAUGGGUAUAAGGAGAAAUUCUUGUGCCUCCCGUAUUUGGAAAGGAAAGUUUUAACCUGUUGG